UAGGGAAUCUUCGGCAAUGGGGGGCAACCCUGACCGAGCAACGCCGCGUGAGUAAAGAAGGUUUUCGGAUCGUAAAGCUCUGUUGUAAGAGAAGAACGUGUGUGAGAGUGGAAAGUUCACACAGUGACGGUAACUUACCAGAAAGGGACGGCUAACUACGUGCUAG
rnacentral:rRNA from 1 species